rnacentral:rRNA from 1 species
ACGCUCGACACCUACGGUAGGCAGCAGUAGGGAAUCUUCCACAAUGGGCGCAAGCCUGAUGGAGCAACACCGCGUGAGUGAAGAAGGGUUUCGGCUCGUAAAGCUCUGUUGUUGGAGAAGAACGUGCGUGAGAGUAACUGUUCACGCAGUGACGGUAUCCAACCAGAAAGUCACGGCUAACUACGUGCCCGCAGCCGCGGUAAUCUGAGCGGGCUGGCAAGGC